AGCAUAAUGGAUAGCAAUAUCUAUGGUGGCGACCGGCGCACGGGUGCGUAACGCGUAUGCAACCUACCUUUAACAGGGGGAUAACACUGAGAAAUUGGUACUAAUACCCCAUAAUAUCAUAGAAGGCAUCUUUUAUGGUUGAAAAUUCCGAUGGUUAGAGAUGGGCAUGCGUUGUAUUAGCUAGUUGGUGGGGUAACGGCUCACCAAGGCGACGAUACAUAGGGGGACUGAGAGGUUAACCCCCACACUGGUACUGAGACACGGACCAGACUCC
rnacentral:rRNA from 1 species